rnacentral:rRNA from 1 species
GUGGGGAAUCUUAGACAAUGGGCGCAAGCCUGAUCUAGCCAUGCCGCGUGAGCGAUGAAGGCCUUAGGGUUGUAAAGCUCUUUCGUGGGGGAAGAUAAUGACUGUACCCCAAGAAGAAGCCCCGGCUAACUCCGUGCCAGCAGCCGCGGUAAUACGGAGGGGGCUAGCGUUGUUCGGAAUUACUGGGCGUAAAGCGCACGUAGGCGGACUGGAAAGUCAGGGGUGAAAUCCCGGGGCUCAACCCCGGAACUGCCUUUGAAACUACCAGUCUUGAGUUCGAGAGAGGUGAGUGGAAUUCCGAGUGUAGAGGUGAAAUUCGUAGAUAUUCGGAGGAACACCAGUGGCGAAGGCGGCUCACUGGCUCGAUACUGACGCUGAGGUGCGAAAGCGUGGGGAGCAAACAGGAUUAGAUACCCCAGUAGUCC